rnacentral:sRNA from 1 species
GCUGGGUGCAGUGGUGCACGCCUGUAACCCCAGCGGCUCAGGAGGCUGAGGCAGGAGGAUCUUGAGUUCAAAGCCAGCCUCAGCAACAGCGAGGCCCUAAGCAACUCAGUGAGACCCUGUCUCUA